rnacentral:rRNA from 1 species
CCUACGGGGGGCUGCAGUGGGGAAUAUUGGACAAUGGGCGCAAGCCUGAUCCAGCCAUGCCGCGUGGGUGAAGAAGGCCUUCGGGUUGUAAAGCCCUUUUGUCCGGAAAGAAAAGCACUGGAUUAAUACUUCGGUGUUCUGACGGUACCGGAAGAAUAAGCACCGGCUAACUUCGUGCCAGCAGCCGCGGUAAUACGAAGGGUGCAAGCGUUACUCGGAAUUACUGGGCGUAAAGCGUGCGUAGGUGGUUCGUUAAGUCUGAUGUGAAAGCCCUG